rnacentral:SRP_RNA from 1 species
UUCGCGCCCGCACGGUGAAACGCCGUGAACCUGGUCAGGGCAGAAAUGCAGCAGCCAUAAGCGGAAGCUUCAGGUGUUGCGGGCGCACUUUU